AUGAUCAAUGACCCUGUUGGUUUUGUAGAUAAGAUCCCUGUAGUCACAAACAGUAAGCAAUAAUUAGGUGAAAAUACAUUAUUAGUCUCUAAAUUUUACUUAGUGAGUGCUUUUAGUCCCUAAAAUUUUAAAUGAGCGCUAUUAGCCUCUAAAAUUUAAAAAAUGACCUCAAUUGGUCCUUCCAUCAACUUCUGUUAAAUUUUAUUACUUAUGUGUCUAUCAAAAUAGUGAUGUGUUAUUUUGUUACAACGUGGCAAUGAUUUUUAUUAUUAACAAAUUACAUGAUGUGGCAAACCCACCACCCAUCCCAAGUUUUCUCUUCCGAUCCCAAUGGCCAGUGCCUCAUGUACGCCAUUCACCAGUGCAACAAAUUUAACCUCCAUGAAACAAACUGAACUUGCGUAAAGAGCAACAAAACCAUAUUAGACGAAGAUCAACCCAAGAUCUAAGCUUGAAUUACGCAACCCAUUACAAAACAUCUCUUAAGAAAACCAAUAACCCAGCUACGACAAAUUAAAUCUGGCUAUAAAUCUUGAAGUGGGUCUCUUUGGAAACAAGCUCAGCCAUAAUUAAAAAAAUUGGGUCUGUUAGAGAACAAGUUUAUGCUCACAAGACCUCAAAAACACAAGGGGCGAUUUAAAAUAUGGACUAAAUUAGAAUCUAGGGUAUUCAUUUGGUUGCUUUUCAUGGCCGUUGAGUUUGUUUGAGGUCGUCGCUGAUAUUGGUGAUGAGGAGGAGGGGUUGGGAGCAGAACCAAGAAGAGGGAGUGAAGUACAGACCGGAGCCAUCUGUGGUGUCUAAGAUAACGGCAGACUUGAGGGCAAAAAAGAAAAACUUGGGAUGACAGAGAGCAUGGGGGAUUGCUGACAUGUAAUUUGUUAAUAAUAAAAUUGUUGCCGCAUCAUUUAAAAAAUUGACACGUCACCACUCCACUAAUGGAAGUUGAAGGAGGGGCUAACAAUGCUCAUUUUAUAAACUUUAGAGACUAACAACGCUUACUUGAAACUUCAAAGACAAAAAACGCUCAGUAAGUAAACUUUAGGGACUAAUAUUGUAUUUUCGCCCAAUAAUUACAUGGACGUGAUUACCAUGUGAACUUGACAAAUCUUUCCCUGCACAACCUCACUGUCACACAAACACAACACAACCAACACAUAUGGCAGCAGCUAACGCUCUCCAAAUCAGCCCAUUUUCUUCUUCUCCUCCAAAACCCAACACAAUAAUAACCUCUCCUCCUCUGUCUCUCUAACCCCAUUGUACUUCUCUCAGAGGGCUCAAGCACUUCUCUCAGAGGGCUCAAGCAAAUCCAAGCCUUUACCUUCAAAACCCACCUCCAAAAUGACGUCACUGUCCUCACCAAGCUCAUCAGUUGCUGUGCUUUCCAUCCUUCUGCUACCUUUAUGGACCAUGCCCACCAACUGUUCGACCAAAUUCUCCAGCCAGACAUUGUGGUCUUCAACUCCAUGGCCUGUGGAUACUCCCGCUCCAAUGCCCCUCUUCAGGCCAUUUUGCUAUUUUCUGAUAUCCUAUGCUCUGGCAUUGUCCCUGAUGACUAUACCUUCCCUUCUCUUCUCAAGGCAUGUGCAAGCUCUAAGGCAUUGCAAGAAGGUAAACAAUUGCAUGGCCUUGAUACCAAACUUGGUCUCGACCAUAACAUAUAUGUAUGUCCCACAUUGAUAAAUAUGUAUACUGAGUGCAAUGAUGCGAACACGGCUGUUGUUUGUUAUAAUGCAAUAAUCACAGGAUAUGCUCGAAGUAGUCGGCCCAAUGAGGCGUUGUCAUUGUUUCGCAAAUUGCAAGCGAGUGAUCUCAAGCCUACUGAUGUAACACUGCUUAGCAUACUUUCAUCUUGUGCUUUGUUAGGAGCAUUAGACUUAGGGAGGUGGAUACAUGAGUAUGUGAAGAUACAUGGUUUUGAUAAAUAUGCAAAGGUCAAAACUGCUCUUGAGAUAUGUAUGCAAAGAGUGGAAACUUGGAUGAUGGCAUGAUGCAGUUUGCGAACAUGUCUGUAAGAGAUACACAGGCUUGGUCAGCCAUGGUUAUGGCAUGUGCAACUGAUGGGCAUGGUUCCAAAAAACAUAUCAUUGUUUGAAGAAUGAAGAGGGCAAGAGUGCAACCUGAUGAGAUUACAUUUUUGGGUCUUUUAAAGGCUUGCAGCCACACUGGCUUAGUAAGGGAAGGUUGUGAGUAUUUCUAUAGCAUGAGUGACAAGUACGGGAUUAUUCCGGGUAUCAAGCACUAUGGAUGUAUGGUGGAUUUGAUUAGUCGAGCUGGUCGCUUAGAUGAGGCUUAUAAGUUCAUCGAUGGAUUACCAAUUUAGCCCAUUCCCAUACUUUGGCAAACCUUGGUAUCAGCUUGUAGCAGCCAUGGCAAUGUAGAAUUGGCAAAGUGAGUGAUUAGAUAAAUUUUUGAACUGGAUGACUCUCAUGGAGGAGACUGUGAUCUUAUCGAGCUUGUGCACAAGGGCUGGAAGAUGGGACGAUGUGAAUUAUUUGAGGAAACUGAUGAAAGACAAGGGGGUGGUGAAGGUACCUGGGUGUAGUUCAGUGGAGCUGAACAAUGUAGUGCAUGAAUUCUUCUCUGGGGAGGGAGUGCAAUCUAUUUCUACAGAUUUGCUCCAGGCACUUGACAAGUUAGUCAAGGAAUUGAAGUUGGUUGGGUAUGUUCCUGAUAUUUCUUUAGUUUUUCAUGAAGACUUGGAAGAUGAGGACAAAGAAAUUACUCUAAGAUAUCAUAGUGAGAAAUAGGCUAUUGCUUUUGGGCUUCUAAACUCUCCCCCUCGUACAAAAAUUCGGGUGGUGAAGAAUCUAUGUGGGGAUUGUCUAUACAGCAAAUUGUACAAGUCAUAAUCAACAAUGAGUAAUGAAUUAUAUAAAUCUAGCAAGUUGAUGAUCCGUACCAGCUUCUGGGUUUCGGCUAAUGUAUGAUGCAAGAAUGUGCAUCUUUGGAAUCUAUUUGUACAAAAUUGGUUCCAAAGAGUGGAAUAAAGACUUUUGUUGAUUUGUACAGAUAAAAAAUUGGUUCCAAAAAGUGGAAUAAAGCCUUUUGUAAUUUAGGCAAAUCAAUUACUUAAUAGAGUCAACUUUUAAACAGAAGGCAAAGGAAAAUGAUGUGGCAGAAGUUUUUCCUACUCUCAAUGAGGACAUUUUACAGGUCUGAGUGUCUUUUUGUUGCUAUUUUUUGUGUUUGGUUUUCUGUAACUUUUUAUGUAGCACGGAAAAAAAGAAGUCAAAGUUAGCUGUUUCAAUAUGAUAAGUAAAUAAUAAUUUUAUUAAAUUUAUUUUUUUGCACAAAAAUACAGACAAAACCAAUGAAGUUGUGGAAAUAAGUCAAUAAUUUUGUCCCAAACUCCCAAUGGCUAAUCAGGGGCAUUUGUUUCACACAACACAGGUGAUAAAUUAAUAGUAAUAGCAGUAAGCAUAUGCUGCACCAAAUAUUCUGUCCACACCUACGUUUUUGCCUAUAAAUACCGCCAUUCACAUCAUGAAACUAUCACCCUAAGUCCAAAAACAAACACACACACACAGAUGAAAGUAUGAAACCCAAUUAUGCAAACACACACACACAGAGAUUAAAGUAUGAAACCCAAUUGUGCAAUCUUCAUCAAGCUUUUACUAGUACAAUGCCUAGCAAUUGGCUGUGUUUCACCGAGUUUCGAUUUCCACCUUGUACGACAAGUGAGUGGGAUUAUUUAAGAGAGAGAUCAUCCUUUUGAAUGCUAAUUACUCUUAUUUGUUGUUGUCAUAACAUCAGAACUUUUUUCUUGAUUUCACCACUCUAAAUCUAUAAUGUGGUGGCCUGGAAAAUACUAUGACACAAAACAAAGUUGUUGCUAUCCAACAGCGGGAAAACCCAAAAUUGAUUUCAGCAUUUAAUGGCUUUAGCCUAAUUACAAUGAUGGCUCAUACCCAUCCAACUGCAAUCCUAACAGCCCUUUCGUGAAAUCCAAGGUACCAAUUUCUCAUUAGGGAAGUGUUAAAGUUGUUAUCAAUUUUACCAUAUGAAACUUAUAAACUAGCUUGAAAAGGUAAUUGGUGCUACAUCGACAACAUAAGUACUUAAAUUCCAUCACUAAUAAAGUUCAUUGUAUACCAUUCUAUAGAUUUCAGACCUAAUUAGCAGAAUGCAAGUAAGUUGGCUAACACUGACCUGCCCAAGCAGCACUGGUUCCUCAUUUUGGUCACAUGAAUGGGAGAAACAUGGGACUUACCAUCAAUGAUUUUAUAUUGAAUGAGGUGCUUUGCAGUUUUUAUUAGAAUUUCUCCAAGAAUCUUUGUUAAAUAGAAAAUCCUAACUGGUUGAUUGUUACGACCUUUGGGAGCAUGGUACAAAAAUAAAGAGAAUGUUUGACCAUGGAAUAGAAAUAAGGAACCAAGCCAACAAAAACUUAGGCAUACACGUCCAAACAAAAAUAAAAAUAAAAAUAAAAAUUAUGCACAAGGGGUUCAUCCUAUUACUUCAAUUUAGUUGCUUUCCUUCUUUGCCAUUUGAGUUACAGCUUAUUGGCUUUUUCCAAUUACCUUCAUCUAUAGCCUUUAGGGUGCUAUCUUUAGAAGCAACUGCCACAGUAAUACCUUCAGCUCCUGUAUAUAGAGAACAAUUUUAACAUUGAUAAUGCAAAGAAGUAGUUACUGAAACCUUGACCAUUAGAAGGAAGCAGAUAUUUCCAUAUUGGCAAACAAACGAUAGAUGAAAAACCUAUCUUAAGAAACCAAGUUGGAUUAAAAAAUGUAUAAAAUUAUUACUAAACUAAUUCAGAGAUACAAAGUUUUUAAACAAUUCAAGGCAGAAAGGUCCCAAGUUCAGGUGCAAGAACAGUUACUUUUUGCAUUUUUGGGAAGUAAGAAGCAAUUUAGAUUAUCAAUCACUGUAUUUGGUAUGUAAGAAGCAAUUUAGGUUAUCAUUAUUUUGCAUAUUUUAACUUGCUAACAAUGGGAAAGAAAUACCCUUUCUUUAUCGCAUAUUUAGGCUUCUUAUAAACAUCCUUUUCCUCUUUAGUAACAACAUUGCCACCUUAACAAAAGCAGUCCACAUGAAUCAAAAUUCCUAAGAAAAUCUAUACAUCCCCAUAAAGUAUAUAUUAAUCUCCAAAAGGAACAUAAGCAAAGCACUUACCAAUAGGACUACUAUUUUAAUAGGAAAUUUCUUCCUCAAAGCCAAAGCUUGUCUAAAAAAUUUUUAGUGAAGCCUAGAGGAAAUCAAAUGCAACCCAUACCCAUGUAAUGGUAAUGAUUAUAGCAAAUUUGUAUUUCUAUUGCAAUUACAGUGAAUAAUGGUACGUUUAUUAUUUUCCAUACCUUCUGUUGUUUAGUUUGUAAAGUUUAUUUAAUACUUAUCCUUCUAAAUUGCAUUACACGGGGUAUGUACAAUCAAAUUUUAAUCUGGCUAAGCAUUAGAACACAAUCAAUGAUUUAAGAAAAAGAAAAAAAAUGUUGAUAUUGUUUCCUGGUUCUCUCAGUUUGCUAUUUCACAUAAACAAUGCUUGGGCACGAUUUCUAGUUAAGGUAUCUAUCAUUCAUGGAUUCAGAUAGAAGUUUGGAUACAAAAUAACUUUCACUAAGGAAACAUGGUUCUAUUAACCUCAACAGAAAAUUGCAAGUCCUUUCUAGAGAUCACAGCAGAGUAGGACAAAACGUGAAGAACUUGAGAGAGAGAGAGAGAGAGAGAGAGAGAGAGAGAGUAACAAUUAGAUAAAAAAGGUAGAUUCAACGAUAAAGUAUGAUAAACCUAUAUCAGUUUUCUAUAUAACAUAAACAAUGCUUGGGACACAAUUUCCAGUUAAGAUAUAAUUGGUGGAUUCACAUCAAAGUUAAGAUUCAAAAUAACUUUCAGUAAGGAUGGGAAGUUUUUUAUAAGAUUUUUUUACCUUGUACUUCCUAAAUCCUAAGUGAUGGAGAGUUUGGUUUAAGCAUUCUCACAAACACUUUGAGGGAGCAGAUAACACAUGCCACUAACCUAAAUCUUCAACUUGUAGUACAACUUUAAACAAUAAAUAAUUCUUCGAAUUUCAAUUCCAAAUUCAUUGAAAACCAGUACCAAAACAAUAAUUGUGCUCCACAAAUCCACAAAGUUACACAACACUCCAAAUCAUCACACCAGUAUAUCUUAAACCCAGUAAAAGAAAACAGAAAUUACAUAAAUAGUUACCAAGUAUUUACCAUCUAAGCACUCUAAAUUAUCACACACUCGAGCUGACCCAAUACAGAAUAUUGCAUGCUAAACCAAAUUAAACAACUCCAACACCACCAAUAUAAAUAAGAACGUGAAAUAUAAAGAAAAUUCCAAUACCAAUAGCAGGAAAAACAAAGAGAAAGUAAGAAUAACACAGAACGGAUACUCAUAAUGUGGAUCAUGUGGUUGUGCAGAGGAAGUAUUACAGUAUAGCUUGCUGGGGACAUCAACCAAUAAUAUUGAAAUCCAAAUUGAGAGUAUGAAAGCUUAUGCAAGUUUCGUCGCCUGCGAUUGACAGACCCUUCACUUUGAAUAUUCAUAACACUCUUGGCUCUGCGACUUAAUCGAGGAGAGAGUCUACACUGGAGUAAAGAGAGAAAACUGUGAAGAGCAAUUAUCAAGUGGUAAUUAGGGGUGACAAUUUUUAUCCAUAUCCAUGAACCCGCCCAUUACCCACCUUAUUUGGAUAAUUCUUAACCUAACCCAUUUAAUAUUUUGAUUAAAUGGGUAAAGAUCCAUUUGGUUAUUUAAUUAAAUGGGUCUAAAUGGAUAAAUCCACUAAUACUCACUAAUCCUAUUUAAAUUUUAAAAUUAAAUAAACCCACAAAUACCCAACCCUUCUAAAAUCUAAAACUUACAUAAACAGUAUAAUCUUAGACACUUUCCCUUUCCCUCAGAUUUUCUAAGUCAAAACAUUCCAUCAGAUUUUCUCAGUAACCAAACAAAAGUAAUUACAAAAAAAAAAAAAUAACAUUCCUUAUCUCUCUCUCUCUCUCUCUCUUGCGUUGCGUUGCGUGUACACCUGUUUCUCUCUCUGAAGCUUCCCGAUUCAAUCCCUAAUCUUCGAUUCACAAUCGGAACACAAUACUGCAGUGGCCGUUGAAUCAUUUCAUCGGUGGUUCAAUUUUACAAUUAGGUAACCGACCUUAUUGAGUGGAUUUUGGCAUUUGCUGUGCUCAGUGGUUGUGCUCGGUGGUGGUGGUGGUGGUUGUGGACAAAGGUUGAUGUGAAUGCUUGAAUUUGGGAUAUCUCUCUCGCUCUCUUCCAAUCGCGCCAACACCGUUCAGGUUUGUCUCUCUCUCAACUCUUCUUCUUCUUCAUUUGAUUUUUUUGUUCGUUUGUGGGUUUUGUCUUUAUUUUCUGUUUUUGUUUGUGGGUUUGAAAUGUAAAUUAUGUGUUGGAUGAAAUGCUUAGUAGAAGAUAAUGCUCUCUUUGUUUGUGUCGAAUUGAAAUGGAGAAAUGGGAUUUGGGUUAUAAGUCAGCAACUAGUUGUUUAGGUAGUACUUUUACUCUAGCAUUCUAAACUGAUUGUUUGUAUAAUGAUUGAAAAAAAAAAAAAACUACUAGUAAUAGUUUACUUUGUUCUGUUAGUGUAGACAAACUCACAAGCUCGGUGAAGGUGGCUUUGGACUCGUUAAGAUUUUCAAGGUAAGAUUAAGAUCCCUCUCUCAAUUGGGUUUUGAGUUCUAAGUUAAUGUCUUUUUCUUUUCUGGGUGUUUGAUGAUUUGCAUCUAUCCACUUUUACCUUUUGGGUUCUGUUCAAAUUGUCACCUAUGUUUCUGCCUUUUGUGAUUUUGGUUGAUUUGAAAUAUAUAUUUGUAGAAAUUGUCAUUUUGAUUGUCUUAUCUUUUAAGGUGAAUCAUGUUUGUAACCGAGGGGAUGGAUGAAGUUGAACAAAUAGUUUCAAGUGGUAGCAAAAGAAGUAGGAGUAGGACUUUUGAAGUGUGGAAUGAUUUUGAAAUAUUACCUUUAUAUGAAGAUGGCCAUCGAAAAGUCAAGUGCAGAAAAUGUACUAAUAUUUUAACAGCAGAUAAGGACAAUGGGACUAGUAAUUUAUGCCGUCAUGCUAAGAAAUGUCAUCAAGAAAAUGAUAGUGUGCCUCACCGUCCUCCCCUUGAUCAAGAUAUGUAUCAUGAAAAGAUUGCAAUGGCAAUUAUUAGGCAUAAUUACUCAUUUUCAUUUGCGGAGCAUGAGGUUAAUAGAGAGCUUCAUAUCUUUCUAAAUCCUGAUGUUAAGCCAAUAUGUAGGAAUACAGCAAAGUCAGAUGUUUUGAAAAUCUAUAAGAGAGAGAGAAAAUCUCAAACGUGCUUUAGAGUUAGUCCCGGGCAAGAUUUGCUUAACUUCAGAUUUGUGGAAAUCUUCCACAACUGAUGAGUACAUGGUUCUUAUUGCACACUACAUUGAUGCAAAUUAGGAGUUGCAAAUGAGGGUUUUAUGUUUUUCUCAUACGCCACCUCCUCGUAGUGGUAAGAUUUUGGGAGAGAGAUUGUUUAACAUUCUAAAAGAAUGGGGCAUUGAGAAAAAAGUAUUUACAAUCACUUUAGACAAUGCUUCUCACAAUGAUACCUUGGUGAAUAGUUUGAAGAAAAACCCUUCUUUUAGAUCAUCUUUGCCAUGUAGUGGUGAGUUCUUUCGUGUUCGUUGUGGUGCUCAUAUUUUAAACCUUAUUGUACAAGAAGGUUUGAAAAUUAUAGAGCAUGCUGUGCACAACAUACAUGAAAGUGUUAAAUAUGUGAGAGGCAAUGAUAUGAGGAAGUUAAGAUUUGCCGAAUGUCUUCAAGAACUCCCUAACUUAACUAGUAAGAAAGUGCGACAAGAUAUGCCAACAAGAUGGAACUCGACAUAUUUAAUGAUUGAGACAGCUCUUAUAUUUCGGGAUGCAUUUCACAAUUUGAGCAUUGUUGAUGGAGGCUUUCGCACUUGUCCCUCAGAUGAUGAAUGGGAUAAGGCCGGGAAGAUAGCAAAGUUUUUGAAGCCAUUUUAUGACAUCACCACUCUCUUUUCAGGCACUCAAUACCCUACUGCCAACUUAUACUUUCAUGGUGUAUGGAAAAUUCAUUUGCGUAUUUUAGAAGAGAUGGAAGAUGAUGAUAUAGUAAUUAGUGACAUGGCAAAAAGCAUGAAAGAAAAAUUUGAUAAAUACUGGGAUUGUUAUAGCAUUGUGCUAUCAUUUGCUGUAAUUUUAGAUCCUCAGUAGAAGUUGCAGUUUGUAGAGUUCAGUUAUAGGUGACUUUAUGGCACUAAUGGGACACAAAUGGUGAUGGAUCUUCGUGACAGGUUAUAUUCCCUUUUCGAAGGAUAUUUACGCACCACUAAUUAUGAAGCACACAAUAUGGUUGAAAAUGCAUCUAGUAGUGGUGCUAAUGAGAAGGUAAGAGAUGCUGAUAUUGCUGGGUUUUGA
rnacentral:sRNA from 1 species